rnacentral:rRNA from 1 species
UUUGAGAAUUUGAUCCUAGUUCAGGAUGAAUGCUGGCAGUGUGCCUUAGGCAUGCAAGUCGAGCGGUGAAAUCUUUCAAUCGCAAGAAAGAAGGACGGAUCAGCGGCAGACGGGUGAGUAUAAGGUAGGAAUCUACCUCUUGGUGUGGAAUAGCUCGCCGAAAGGCGGGGUAAUACCGCAUAAGUUCGUAAGAAGAAAGGGCUUAACCGCCCGCCGAGAGAUGAGCCUAUCUGCUAUCAGCUAGUUGGUGGGGUAAAGGCCUACCAAGGCGAUGACGGCUAGGGGGUGUGAGAGCACGACCCCCCACAAGGUUACUGAGAUACGGAGCCUACAUCUACGGAUGGCAGCAACCGGGAAUUUUGCGCAAUGGACGAAAGUCUGACGCAGCGACACUGCGUGUGGGAUGAAGGCCUUCGGGUUGUAAACCACUGUGGUAGAGAAUGAAAAAAAUGACAGUACUCUAUUUAGAAAGCACCUGCUAACUACGUGCCAGAAGCCUCGGUAAUACGUAGGGUGCAAGCAUUAUCCGGAAUCACUGGGCGUAAAGAGUAUCGUAGGCGGUUUAUUAAGUAGAGGGUUAAAGCUCGGAGCUCAACUCCGAAGAUGCCCUCUAAACUAAUUUACUUGUGGAAAUUCGGGGGUACCGGAAUUCUUGGUGGAGGGGUGAAAUCCGUUGAUAUCAAGAAGAACACCAAUGGCGAAGGCAGGUACCUAGGGUUUUCCAGACGCUGAUGAACGAAAGCUAGGGGAGCGAAAGGGAUUUUGAUUAGUCCCGUAUAGUAGUAAUGCUAUACGUAAACUGGCUAUAUCGGUGAAAUUCCUCUUUUAUUUCGGUUUAUCUUUGGUAAACUGAUAUAGUGAGGAGAACACCGAGGGAAGUUUUCUUUAAACUCAAACAAAAUUUCGAUCUUUCGAAGGAACAACAGGCUGUUUUAAUUGGAACAGUAUUGGGCGAUGGCAAUUUGAGGUUUCGCGGCAAUGAAUGUCGUUUACAUAUUAAGCAUAGUUUUAAUCAAAUGAGGCUGUGUGAAUAUAAACGGCGAGUUUUCGCCCCGAUUACUUCGAUGCCAGUCAGGGUUUUUAAACAAAAAGUAGCUAACCACGACUACUGGUUUAGUGAAUUUGCUACCUUGACCCAUCCAGUAUUUACCAAGUAUUACAAAAUGUUUUAUCCAACAGGUAAAAAGAUUAUCCCCACGGGGAUAGCCGAGAUACUUGUCGAUCCGAUCAGUUUGGCGGUGUGGAUUAUGGAUGAUGGAGCGGCAGAAUAUGCUGGUCUAUCAAUUCAAACGCAUUGCUUUACUUCUAACGAAGUAGACAGACUGGUUGGGGUUAUAAAGGAUAACUUUGAAAUCGAAUGUUUGAGUCGAUCGAAUCGGGGGAAGCGUGUAAUUUAUUUUCCGAAAACUAGUAUUAAUAGACUGAAAAAUCUGUUAGAUAACUAUGUGAUCGAUAAAAUGAAAUACAAGUUUGUACCCUACGAUCAGAGAAAACCCCGUAGAGACUGUACGCCGGAGUCCCACUUGGGUGGGACCAUGAUACAGUCCGAUCCUACCGGUAACAGUAGGAGCUUAGUAGAAAUAACUAAGCCCUUCGACAUUUUGUCGAAGAGUAACAACAAUGUAGAGACCCCUGUAGUCCUAGCCGUAAACGAUGAACACUAGCUAUCCGGAUUUCCGGGUGGCGUAAGCUAACGCGUUAAGUGUUCCGCCUGGGGAGUACGACCGCAAGGUUAAAACUCA